rnacentral:piRNA from 1 species
UGCCCAUCAAGGUCUCAUGGUCUUAAAGGA